rnacentral:rRNA from 1 species
GUGAGGAAUAUUGGUCAAUGGGCGAAAGCCUGAACCAGCCAUGUCGCGUGAAGGAUGAAGGUCCUAUGGAUUGUAAACUUCUUUUGCAGGAGGGUAAAGUGAGCUACGUGUAGUUCAUUGCAAGUACCCUGCGAAUAAGCAUCGGCUAACUCCGUGCCAGCAGCCGCGGUAAUACGGAGGAUGCGAGCGUUAUCCGGAUUUAUUGGGUUUAAAGGGUGCGUAGGCGGACUAAUUAGUCAGCGGUGAAAUUUUGCGGCUCAACCGUAAAACUGCCGUUGAAACUGUUAGUCUUGAGUGCGGUAGAGGUAGGCGGAAUGUGUGGUGUAGCGGUGAAAUGCUUAGAUAUCACACAGAACACCGAUUGCGUAGGCAGCUUACUGGAGCGCAACUGACGCUGAGGCACGAAAGCGUGGGGAUCGAACAGGAUUAGAACCCUAGUAGUCC